GGGUGCAUGGCCUAAUGGUAAGGCGUCAGAUUUCGGUUUAUCUGUAACCUGCUCUGAAGAUUGCAGGUUCGAUCCCUGCUGUGCUCG